AGAGCUAAGUGAAUGCAUCUCUGAUCAUUUUUGUCUGAUUUGGGCUAUGACUGGAAUAGUGGCUUUGGAGUAGAGGAAAGAGAAGCAUAAGGAGACUCAUUGGGUUGCUCACACUGUGGCAGAAACGUAAUAAUAUAAGGCACAGGGAACAUUCAGAGGUAAGAAAAAGAGUUCUCAGCCUGUGAGACUUAACCACCCCUUCACUCUUAUCAGAACUCUUUCCAUAAAGCAAAAUCCAAAUACUUUCUCCCUUCCCACCCAUCACUCAACCCAGAAAUCCACACCAGGAGGGAACAGUGCACGGUGUGUGUGUGUGUGGCACACGCAGCUCCCCUGGGAUUUAAGGAUGGAAUUUAAGGAUGACCAAAGCAGAGGUGGGAUGUGCUUGAGGACGCUGUGAUGUGGGACAGCCAAGCGCCUUAUCUCAGCUGCAGCAGAACCACAAGAGCCAGGCCAGCCACCAGCACCCACGUCUGCACCGCAUCGCCCCUUACAGCACGCAGAACACAACUGCAGUACAACUGGUGAGUAAUGGUAAAGCAUGAAGCACUUUCAAACCUUUAUUUUUCAAGGGGGUUUUACAGGAUGGGAUGUAUUCGUUUCAUUUGUUUUUUUCAGUAUUUUUUGUGUGCUUCCCCGCUUGUUUCUUGGAUUAGCCCUUUGUUUUGGUGCCCGGUGAUUGUUAAAUUCAAACCCUGGGAAUGAAACUUAUAAAGGGCGGGGGGGGGG